GAGGCGCCACAUGCAGCGUGUACUGCAGGAUAACCAAAAACCGUUAAUUAUGGCGAUUAAUUAAUAAUAACGAUAUAAUAUAGUAAAGACGUUAAAAAAAGUUGGAAAAGAAGACGUAAUUCUAAACAGUUAUCCUAUUUACAGGUAUACUUGUUAUAUUAGGUCGAACAGACAGUACAGAAGGACUUUCGACUAUCGAUACAUAAAUAUUAUUGUUUAAUUUUGGUACCGAAAUCUAUGAUGAGAGACGUAAUAAAACUAUGAAUUUAAAGUAAACCACAUUAAGAUAUAAGAAUAUAAAUUUAUUAAGAGGGGUCGCUGGAGUGCUGGACGGUUCCAGCCUCUAUAAUUACAAGACUUGCCAUAGCGGAGAUUUUUUUUGUAAAGAUUACGGAAUUUUCGCGUUGGACGAACCAAGAAGAAGUUUAGAUGAAUAAAAAUGCAGACAGUUUAGGAAAUGCAUUAGCCAGAUUGGUGAGAUUGCGAUCAGAAUGUGAGAUGAUUUUUUUUUUGAACUGGUGAGAAUUAGUGAUGAGAAAAGGUUUCUGUUAAAAUUGGCUGAAUGAAGUGAAAAUGAAGAUAGUUUUGAUGAACUAUUCCUAAAGAAGAAUAAUGGACGCACGACAAUUGGACGAUGCUUGGUGGAUGAUGCGAAGCGAAUGAUGCGAAGGAAGAUUUAUGGUUGAAAGUUGAAAGAUGUGAAGAAAGUAGGGAAGAUUUUGUAUAAAUAAGAAAAAGAAAAAGAAAAAGAUGUAUCGGGGAGACUGGUAGGGAAGAAGACACUGGAGCUAGUUUCUGUAAGAAUAAAUAUGGAGCGUUUGUUUUGAAAGGGGUGCAAGUCCAGUUUGUUUGGUUUGGAUAAAAUUGAAUGUUGGCAGAUGUUGUUCCAUCGGGAAGGAAGAAACAUGUGGAGUUUUUGCGAGUAGUUAUGACACGGACGUGACCAGGGUUGGCGUUCAGAUUGUCUGGACGUUGUCCCCAAUAGCCGGACAUAUGAUAUGUCGAAUAAUCCAAGAAUCCAAGAACUGUUUCUAUGGUGGUAAAAGGUGUUUGAAAAGUGGUGUACAGUAUUUAGUUGAUUAAAAUGUAUGAUUUGUUUAAUAAAUGAAUGUAUUUUUUUU